rnacentral:rRNA from 1 species
GUGUCUGGUGGGUAGUUUGACUGGGGCGGUCUCCUCCUAAAGAGUAACGGAGGAGCACGAAGGUUGGCUAAUCCUGGUCGGACAUCAGGAGGUUAGUGCAAUGGCAUAAGCCAGCUUGACUGCGAGCGUGACGGCGCGAGCAGGUGCGAAAGCAGGUCAUAGUGAUCCGGUGGUUCUGAAUGGAAGGGCCAUCGCUCAACGGAUAAAAGGUACUCCGGGGAUAACAGGCUGAUACCGCCCAAGAGUUCAUAUCGACGGCGGUGUUUGGCACCUCGAUGUCGGCUCAUCACAUCCUGGGGCUGAAGUAGGUCCCAAGGGUAUGGCUGUUCGCCAUUUAAAGUGGUACGCGAGCUGGGUUUAGAACGUCGUGAGACAGUUCGGUCCCUAUCUGCCGUGGGCGCUGGAGAACUGAGGGGGGCUGCUCCUAGUACGAGAGGACCGGAGUGGACGCAUCACUGGUGUUCGGGUUG